rnacentral:tRNA from 1 species
GACAUUUUGGCCGAGUGGUUAAGGCGCCGCCCUGCUACUACACCGAAGUAGUACGCUGUUGGUGAGGCGGUGGGUUCGCCCGCGUAGGUUCGAAUCCUGCAGAUGUCG